CACGUAGGGCGCAAGCGUUGUCCGGAAUUAUUGGGCGUAAAGAGCUCGUAGGUGGUUUUGUUACGUCUGCUGUGAAAACCUAGGGCUUAACCCUGGGCUUGCAGUGGAUACGGGCAGACGUAGAGGUAGGUAGGGGAGAAUGGAAUUCCUGGUGUAGCGGUGAAAUGCGCAGAUAUCAGGAGGAACACCGGUGGCGAAGGCGGUUCUCUGGGCCUUACCUGACACUGAGGAGCGAAAGCGUGGGGAGCGAACAGG
rnacentral:rRNA from 1 species